GAUCCGUUAAUUAACGGAUUCACUAACCAUCGGGACGAGGCGUUUGUUCUUCCGUUCAAUCUUUUUUGUUUAGCUAAAACAUACAUAUAGGAGUACAUUCCUUUGGGGAGAUGGGCAUGCAGAUCGACCACGCGCAUGUCCGUGCAGAAAUGGAUGCAUGGUCUCGUUUCCUUGGCUGCUGGCGCCCAGCUGCUUGCUGGGUUUGGCAGGGAGAUUGCGAAGUUAUGAACAAAAUUACAAAAGGAAUUGAGAAGAAGCUAGCGACCGAGAGAACAGUGGAGUAGCACCGAUGAGUCGAAGCACGGUGCCCCAGCUCUCAGUGCUCUCAUGCAGGCGGUCGAAGCAAUGCAGGGUUGCAGAUAGCCCGUGCGUGCCGCGUAAAUGGCGCCACCAGUGGGGCCUAGUGAAGCAGCAGCAGCAGCUCAGACGAAUCAAGGGCAAGUACCCGGAAUAUUUUUACCCUGCCGAGUCGCGAAGGGGGUUGGGGUCCACAGCGCCCGACCGUAUACGCCAUUAUGUCCCGGUUUUAGGACAUACAGUACAGUAUUGGGUCCACUGACAUUUUAACUUCGCCACAUCUGUGAUCUGUGCAUGGUUUCUACCCCAUGAUCCAUCUGUACCCACAAGCCUCAUCCUCACGCAGUCACGCAUGUGACUCGUUUCUUCCAGACUUUUUUUUUUUACCGAAGCUGUUGCUUCGUUACAAUUUAUUUCUAAGCUGUCAAAAUUUAAUAGUAUAGGACUUUGUUAGUUCUUAUCAAGGCGAG
rnacentral:lncRNA from 1 species